rnacentral:rRNA from 1 species
CACGUAGGGCGCAAGCGUUGUCCGGAAUUAUUGGGCGUAAAGAGCUCGUAGGCGGACUGUUGCGUCCGCUGUGAAAGCUGGGCUUAACCCUGGCCUUGCAGUGGAUACGGGCAGACUAGAGGUAGGUAGGGGAGAAUGGAAUUCCGGUGUAGCGGUGAAAUGCGCAGAUAUCGGGAGGAACACCGGUGGCGAAGGCGGUUCUCUGGGCCUUACCUGACGCUGAGGAGCGAAAGCGUGGGGAGCGAACAGG